rfam:Gossypium arboreum cultivar AKA8401 contig_2173_3, whole genome shotgun sequence.
UAUUAAAAAAUUCAUUCAUCUAUACUAUUAAAAGCAGGCAUAAUUGAUAGAAUAACCAGAUAAUGACACUUGGUGUGUCACGUGUACCUCAUGCUAAGGUAUAGGUACCAACUCUUAACCGUAGAAAUAGAUGUAACUUUUAAUA